AGAUUUAAUUGGCAGAUAAUGUUUAAAAAAAAAAAAAAUUCUACCAACCAUUAACCAUAAUUCAAUAAUCCUAUAAACCUAAUAACCAAAUGCACUUUUAACUCUUAUUAGAAUGAGAUUUUAACCACUACGGUGCAAAGUUUUUAGAUACUGCGUUGUCAGUGUUUACUCAGCAUUCAAGGACAGCAAUAUUUGCAUAGCAUUUUUACUGACAUGUAGUGCACAUAUGUUUUGGGCAAAAACAUUUUUGAAUAUUAAAAUACGAACAUUUGUAACAAACAAUUGACAAAUUAGCCAAUGCCAAUGCAAAACUUUCUCUGCCUGUUAAAAAAAGAAGAUAAUCUUCUCACAAACUGGUGUUUGAUUUUGAAACAGGAAAAAAGUGGGGAAACAACUGGAAAGACUAAUAUUUGAAUAAAACCUGAAAGCAAGUAAAUACUUUCUAUGCUGCCUUAUGGUAAACUUUGGUAAUAUUUGAAUAAAACCUGAAAGCAAGUAAAUACUUUCUAUGCUGCCUUAUGGUAAACUUUGGUAAUAUUGAUAAAGAACAGCACUGGCUGAUGAUGAAAUACAUUCAGCUGGCAUGGUGACACUGCCAGUAUAACCUGCAGGGCUGGACUGGGACAGAAAAUCGGGCAUUUUGACUACAGACCGGCCCACCAGGUAUUAAAGCCAUAAAGCCUUUGAAUGAAAACAAACGCUGUGGUGACAGUGAUGUACAGUCUUGUUGGUAUAUGUAUGAUUUCUAUACAUUUUACGUCAGAUAAAAACUUUGGUUGUAAGAUUUAGAUAAUUAUUUAAUAAAAGCUAGAUAUUUUAAAUGAGAAUAAGAAAGAAAAGUAUUUCUUUGUGCCCCCCUCUCCCUGUUAAUGCCCUACCUGCCCCCCUGGCAACACUUUGCUAGACCCGCCCCUGCACAGUUACCAGCUGUCAGCUACAUAAAAAAGGAUCCUGGUGUUAUUUGUCUCUCAGAAACAGUUCAUAACUUCAACUCAUUCAUGUCACCUAAAAGGUAAACCUGUUUCUCCAUCACCUGUUCAGCUCUGAUGAUUCAGUAAAGACAUCUCCUGGUUUCAUGUUUCCCUCUCACCACAUAUCCAAACUGACAUCAUGACCAGCAGCUUUAUAGCUGUGGCUCCAGCAAACAUCAGCUGAUACUAGAAAUUAAUAUUAAAUACAUUCUAACAACAGCUGAUCAAGCUUAAACGUGCUGCUGUUGUUUAGCGCGACAUCCGCUGGUUUCCUCUUUCUGGCGCAAAGUGGGCGAUAAAUAAACAAGAGAGAAAAGCUGAUCAGCUAAUCAUUGAUCAGUUUCAUGAUUGAAGUAGCAACAGGAGAGGCAGGGGGAGAGAAUGAGAGAAGAGGCAGCUGUGCCGCAUAACGACAGAAUAAAUCCAGCUUUGUGUCUUUUUCCAUCCUAGCUGAAGUUCGGGACAAACUGCGUCUCUUCUCAGCUCAAUACGAAACGUGUAAUAUUUUCUCUGAAUGAGGGACCAUUCCAUUUUUUUAAGGAGCCGUUGGCAACUCUACUAACUAACCUUAUGAAUAAAAUAAAGUUCACUAUCAGUAACAUCAUAGCACCCACCCACCUAAAAACUCCAUCAAGCUGGCUAGAACACAGUAUGAGUUAUUGCAACUGACGGUAAAAAGUCAGCACAACUAAAAUAAACUCCACCUAAACUUGGUUUAUAUCUGACCCAGAGAGACUGCAGGUCAUAACUUCUUACCUGAAGUUCAGUUCACCUGACACUCGGACUGGUGGCUGCUUCGGGUCUCUCCUCCUGCCUCCCCUUCCCUCAUCCACCUGCUGGCCUCUGUGGAAGCCCCGCCAUAGCCACCACCAAACAACGGAGUUAUUUCUACACAUCGACCUGCAUCUGGCCAAUCCACCACCUCUCAUUGUUCAUGCCGUUACAAAAAAAAAAAAAAAAAAGUCAAAUAAGCCCGAUGGCCAGUCCAGCGAUGUUAACCUGCAACCAAAUCUGCAGCUCCAAUGUUACGACUUAGAUUACAUCUUAUAACUCAUAACUCUUAUGUUAGCUGCCCUCAGUAGCAUACUGUCUGAAAUAUUCCACGGCUGCAAUAAUUCUUUAAGUGUUAUUUUUUCCUUGGUAUUCUAAUUUCACCGAAGUUUACUAAACUCAACAAACUUAAUAUUACUUACCGGGACAUUUAUUCUGUCCUCAUUUUCUUUCACCGAAAAAUUGUUUCCUGCAGUGCCAUCUUUCGCGCUUGGCUCUCCUACCUUUGCUAACGUGAUGCACAUAGCGCAGAAGGAUGCUGCAUUCACUUACAAUCGGAUAUCUGAGCUUCACCGUGAAAACAUAAUCGGACAUUUGAUAUUUGAUUGAAUUUUAUUGUUUUGCCUUUGGGGUGGCACCUGGGGUGGCCAGUCUGGUUAUGGGGGUGGCCUGUGCCCCCCCAGGCCACCCCGCUGGACACGCCAUUGG
ensembl:lncRNA